rnacentral:rRNA from 1 species
UACGUAGGGGGCAGCGUUGCUCGGAAUCACUGGGCGUAAAGCGCACGUAGGCGGCUUCUUAAGUCAGGGGUGAAAUCCUGGAGCUCAACUCCAGAACUGCCUUUGAUACUGAAGAUCUUGAGUUCGGGAGAGGUGAGUGGAACUGCGAGUGUAGAGGUGAAAUUCGUAGAUAUUCGCAAGAACACCAGUGGCGAAGGCGGCUCACUGGCCCGAUACUGACGCUGAGGCACGAAAGCGUGGGGAGCAA